rnacentral:lncRNA from 1 species
AGAAUCCGAAGCAAGACAGCAAGGAAACCAGAAGGCAAACAGUGCUGAAUGCAGCAUAAGCAUCCACAUAAACGAAGAUUAUCAAGAGACUCUGAUUUGGCCAGUAUUUCAGCAGAUCAAGAGGCACUUAAAUCAGGCAAAGGAGUUUACACCAGAAUGGAGGUGGUACUCAGUACUGUGCGAAGAGAAAGGUGACCCGCUGACUGCAAGAGCUUCUAAAUAGUGGACCAGUUGCCCAAGAACAGUGUCUGCUGGAUUUCAAGCACCCUGCCUGGUGUCCUGGCUCCAAGACUCUUCCUGUCACUG